rnacentral:rRNA from 1 species
CUUGCGCCCGCACCGACGGCCCGUCUUUUGCGGUUUCGCUGAGGCGGAGCUAGAGCGCGCGCCCUGGGACCCGAAAGAUGGUGACCUAUGCCCGGACAGGACGAAGCCAGAGGAAAACUCUGGUGGAGGUCCGUAGCGGUUCUG